UUGGGUGAGUAGUUCAUUACAUUCCUCAAAAAGUCUUCUCAAAGCCCAUGGGCUGAGGGGCGGAUGUUCUGUAAAACUAACAGUGGCUGCACUGUCGGUCAAAAUUGUCACAUGCUCUGCCAGACUAUCUUCCUUUUCGGCCAAUUCACGCAGACAGAGGAUGGCUUCCUUCACCGCAGUACCUUCGACUUCCAGAGGAGAGCUAGCAACCGCCCCUUUAGUAAACCCUGUUAUAAUCAAACCUCUGGAAUCUCUACAAACACCACUCACCGAUCCCUCUACCAGGUAUUGCGUUCGGUUGGGUUUUGCAAGCGGUUGAAUCUGCUCAGAUUGAUAGCUUCAUCAACGAUAACACCCGAUUUUGGGGAAAUCUGUUGGAACACCUGGGCAUUUCUGGCCUUCCAGAUCUGCCAAAGGAUACCAGCGAGCAGUUCUUGGAGAGCCGAGAAACCGCCAGUAAGUGCUUCAUCUAACCACUUAUCCAUUCUUGUCAAGUUUGUCGGAGAAACAUCCAUCUGUAUUCUCUGAUCAGACCAAAUAUGCUUGAUCCAAUCGCACAGGAUGAAGGUGUGCUCCAUCGUUUCUGGAGCUUGCUGGCAAAUUGGGCAAAGCGGGUCAGUAAUUACCUUCCUUUUGUAUAAAUUCUCCUUUGUAGGUAGAGCAUUCCGGCACACACCCCACAAGAAGAAUCGGAUUUUUGGUUCGGUGUUUAAUUUCCAUAUUUUAGACCAUAGAGAACGGGGCUGCUGAUAUGAUGAUGAUGCUUGUGCUGUGUUUUGCUUGGGUAUAGAUGCUCGAAUUCUGGAAUAUCCAUGUCUGACCGUGUAUUCCCCUGUUGUAUUGCCGGUCCAUAUUUGUUUAUCGCUUUCCGGACUUGGCUGAAUGCGUGUGGUUAGGAUUUCGCUGACAACCUCCUCCUGAAACAACCUUCUUUGUUUUCCUUCCAUGUUCUUGUCCUCUGAUCGAUUAAAUUUGCGACUAUUUGCGGGUCAUCCCUAUUUGCUGGGCCACCAAUCAGUUUCUGAUUCAGCCAUUGAUCCUCUCUUAUAUUGAUACUAUCUCCAUUCCCCACCGACCAUUUAAUAUCCAAGCUUAUGGCGUCCCUGCCCAUUAUCAAACUUUGCCACCCCCACGACGGUCGGGAGCCAUUUCUGGCUUU